CCGGGGCGCACUCCCCGGCGAGGCGGAGGCCCAGCCCGCUCCCGCGCGCCGGAAGGCCUGUGCGGACGCCCGCGCCCUGCGACAUUGGGGCUUGAACAAGGAACUUGGGACAGUUCUCAUUUGUCUUUUUGGAUCAUGGCUGGUACUAAACCACUUGAGACAUAUCUGUAGUCCAGCUUCUUUUUCCCUGGCAAUUGAAGCACCCACCAAUACUGACAUUUAUUGCAAAAAAGUUACCAUCCAGAAUCAACUCCCAUCAAGCAAAUGGAUUCCUGUCAUCAUUUCCUGUUUGACACAAGUAAAUUCCAAAGUUUUUUCAUCUUUCACUGAAAACUUGAGUUGCUUAGAUCUUUUACUUUAAAUUAAAAAGUUUUAUUGUUACUUCUAUACAACAGUAACAUUUAACAUUGGUAAACUGUUUACCAAAAUGUCUUGCUAGGUGCUGUUAGCUUACUCCUGUAAUCCUAGCCACUCAGGAGGCCAUGAUCUAAGGAUUGUGGUUCAAAGUCAGCCUAGGCAGG